rnacentral:rRNA from 1 species
UACGUAGGGUGCGAGCGUCAGUCGGAAUUACUGGGCGUAAAGUGUGCGCAGGCGGCGCCGCAAGUCGAGUGUGAAAUCCCUGGGCUUAACUUGGGAACUGCGCUCGAAACUAUGGUGCUGGAGUGUGGCAGAGGAAGGUGGAAUUCCACGUGUAGCGGUGAAAUGCGUAGAGAUGUGGAGGAACACCGAUGGCGAAGGCAGCCUUCUGGGCCAACACUGACGCUCAUGCACGAAAGCGUGGGGAGCAAACAGG